rnacentral:rRNA from 1 species
AAUCAACGCUGGCGGCGUGCCUCAGACAUGCAAGUCGAACGAGAAAGUUCCCUUCGGGGAAUGAGUAAAGUGGCGCACGGGUGAGUAACACGUAGGUAAUCUACCUUCGGGUGGGGAAUAACCCAGGGAAACUUGGGCUAACACCGCAUAAUGCAGCGGCACCACAUGGUGACAGUUGUUAAAGCGGGGGAUUUUAGGACCUCGCGCCUGAAGAGGAGCCUGCGGCGGAUUAGCNGUUGGUAAGGUAACGGCUUACCAAGGCGACGAUCCGUAGCCGGCCUGAGAGGGCGGUCGGCCACACUGACACUGACAUACGGGUCAGACUCCUACGGGAGGCAGCAGUCGGGAAUUUGGGCAAUGGGCGAAAGCCUGACCCAGCAACGCCGCGUGAAGGAUGAAAUCCCUCGGGAUGUAAAC